GGCCGGUCAGCUUGGCGCGCGCAUCGGCGGCGCUCAUGGCCGUGGUGACGCGAUAGCCUUCGCCGGCGAGAAAGCGCGACAGCAGAUCGCGGAUGCGGCGGUCGUCAUCGACCAGCAGCAGAUGCGGCGCAUCGUCGGCCAUCUGNAUCGAGGUUUCUGUCACCUUGAAUCCUUCGCCGUCUUGCGGCUGCCUCGGAGAAUUUCCUCCAGCACCUUGUCGGGAUCGGUGUGGUCGAUCAUGCCCAGCAGGAACCGCCGCACGCUCUCGGCGCUCUCCGGGCCGAUGGCGUCGAGCGCGCGGGGGCAAUCCCGCCAGUUUCGCCACAAGGGCCUCGCCCUUCGCCGUGGCAAAAAGAAGACGCUGGCGCCGGUCGUUGUCGCCAGCCUUCUGGACGAUAUAGCCCUCGUCCAGCAACUGUUUCAGGACACGCCCGAGCGACUGCUUGGUGAUGCGCAGCACGUCGAGCAGAUCGGCGACCUUCAGACCCGGAUAGCGGGUCACGAAAUGCACCACCCGGUGGUGGGCCCGGCCGAAACCGAACUCCUCCAGCACGUGAUCGGCGUCGCCGACGAAGUCCCGAUAGGCGAAAAACAGCAGCUCGAUGAUGUCCCAGCGCAAAGGAACGGCCCCCGGCGUGGUGGAGCCGGCGGCGGCGUCAGUGGAAUGCGCUCCUGCCUUCAUA
rnacentral:misc_RNA from 1 species